CCUGUUUAACAAAAACAUGUCUUUUUGAGUUAUUUUUAAAGUCUGACCUGCCCACUGAAUAAAAUUAAAUGGCCGCAGUAUUUUAACUGKGCAAARGUAGCAUAAUCAUUAGUCUUUUAAUUGAAGGCUGGUAWGAACGGUUGGACGAGGUAUAAGCUGUUUCAUAUGAAUUUAUAAUAGAAUUUUAUAUUUUAGUUAAAAAGCUAAAAUUUAAUUAAAAGACGAGAAGACCCUAUAAAUCUUUAUACUUUAAAUUAUUUAAGUUUUGUGGAUUAAUUUUAUUUUUAUAGUUUGAAGUAUUUUGUUGGGGUGAUGUUAAAAUUUAAUGAACUUUUAAUUAUUUAGAAUCAUUAAUUUAUGAGCUAUUGAUCCAUUAGUAGUGAUUAUAAGUUUAAGUUACUUUAGGGAUAACAGCGUAAUUUUUUUGGAGAGUUCUUAUCGAUAAAAAAGUUUGCGACCUCGAUGUUGGAUUAAGAUAUAUUUUUAGGUGUAGGCGCUUAAAC
rnacentral:rRNA from 1 species